CUGUUCUUUAAGUAUUCGAGCAUUACAGCAGUGGGACCUGAGCUCUAACGCGCUCGCGCAGAGAGAGAUCCUGCUCUGACAGAGAGCCGUUUCUCUGAGGAGCAUCGCUUCUGAAUGAACGGAUGAACUCUUGCGUGUCCUGAGGAAAUACACAGGCAUGAGGAUGAUACAACACGCGUCUGAUCAGGAAGCCCUUCACGAUGGCCGUGAGGGACUGCUUUACAGCUGUAAAAUCAACCUGGCUCAGUCUGUUUCUCUUGCCGGUGCUGUGAUUCAGGCCUCUCAUAAAAAUGGGAGUCUGUUUCGAAGGCGAUACCACAUCUAAACUGGCUGAAGGGAAACCUAAAAGGUAAAAAUACAGUUUACCCAAAAAUGACAAUUACAUUCAUGUUGCUCUAAAGUUUAGAAUUUAAACUCCAAAAAGACUGAAAAAAGUUUCAAAAAGAACUAAAAGCAUCCUUAAUAUAGUCAAUGUGACUGCAUUUGUGUACAUUCAAUUGAAUGUGUUGAAUCAGUGUUAUUUUAGCAUAAUUUAUAUACUAUUAUAGUACUUAUUCAUAUUUUGAAUGAGUUUUUAUUUUUAUAUUUAAAAUAUUUGGCGUACUGUGCAUAUUAGCAAAAGCACAUAUCAAACCAUUUGUUAUGUGCCUUUGUCAUUUUUAUUAGUUUUUUUAAAUUGAGAUUUAUACUGAAUAAAUAAGCUUUCCAUUGAUGUAUGGUUUGUUAGGACAAUAUUUGGCCGAGAUACAACUAUUUGAAAAUCUAGAAUCUGAGGGUGCAAAAAAUAUUACUAAAUAUUAUUAAAUAAUAUUACGUUUUGAUAUAUUUACAGUAGGAAAUGUAUAAAAUAUCUUUAUGGAACAUGAUCUUUGCUUACUAUUCUAAUGAUUUUUGGCAUAAAAGAAAACAUUUGGACAAUUUUGACCCAUACAAUUACAUAAAUACCUGUGUGAUUUCUGACUGGUCUUGUAGUCCAGGAUCACAUAUAGCUUUAAUAAAUUUGUGUUUUAGUUUUAGUAAUUUUAGUACUUCAAUUUAAACUUAUUUCACUUAGUUGCUAAGGCAGCAUUUCUAAUUUUUGUUUAUUUUUUUUCAUCUAAAAUUUGUACUUUAUUUUAUUUCAGCUUUAUUACAAUUAUUUUUUAUUAUAUUUCUUUUUUUUUUUUUUACUAGUUUUAGUUUUACAGUAACAACACAGUUUAACAAUAACAUCGCUGUUUUGCACCAAAUGCAAUGAAUUAAAUUUCAGUUCCUCACACAAAGCUCUUGUACAACUUUGGAAGACUUGAAAUAUAGAUCAUGAGUCGUAUUGGUUAUUUUUAUGAUGCUUUUAUGUUCUUUUUCUGUUGUUUUGGAGCUCAUUGUUGUCUGCCCUCAUCCACUUGUCUUCCACAGAAGAAGGAAAAUAAAGAGUUUGGAAACAACAUGAGGACACGACAUCCUGAAAGCAUAAUCGUCCUCCAGAGACCUCUGCAUGUCUUCUAGAGCGUGGACUUGCCAUUGCAUCUCAUCUAAGGAAAAGACAUGUGCAACGAGAGGAUACUUUAUCAAAGAAUUAUGAAAAUCUGAUCUUUAUUCUCAAAUUGACAUUCAAGUGGUUCUUUGAGGUAGUUUGGCACGAGAAGGAGAGUCUGGGGUGAUCCCAGACCCCAUAAAUGCUGCUACGGGACUGUCCCGUGUGAAAGUCUUGUUCAUCGGUGAAGGGGGAGACAGUCGAGUGGGCGUUCUCGCAGUGAC